rnacentral:rRNA from 1 species
CACGUAGUUAGCCGUGGCUUUCUGGUUAGGUACCGUCUCUUAUAUGUAUAGUUACUACAUAUCCAUUCUUCCCUAACAACAGAGCUUUACGAACCGAAAUCCUUCUUCGCUCACGCGGCGUUGCUCCGUCAGGCUUUCGCCCAUUGCGGAAGAUUCCCUACUGCUGCCUCCCGUAGGAGUCUGGGCCGUGUCUCAGUCCCAGUGUGGCCGAUCACCCUCUCAGGUCGGCUAUGCAUCGUCGCCUUGGUAGGCCUUUACCCCACCAACUAGCUAAUGCACCGCAAAGCCAUCUCAUAGUGUUAGCAUAACCAACUUUUAAGAUCUUUCAUGCGAGAAAUACUGUUAUCCGGUAUUAGCUAUCGUUUCCAAUAGUUGUCCCAGUCUAUGAGGCAGGUUCUUUACGUGUUACUCACCCGUUCGCCGCUAAGUUUUCUAGUGCAAGCACCAGAAAAACUUCGCUCGACUUGCAUGUAUUAGGCACGCCGCCAGCGUCGUCUCG